AGUCCUGAGGAGCGCUGCGACGACCCUGGCUUGUCCCCCACAUGCGGGUCGGCCGGCGGGUUGCCAGGCUCAGGAAUCUCACCAGGCGCCGCCGCGGCGGCGCCCAGCAACGGCGCUCACCUUUG
rnacentral:ncRNA from 1 species